CCUACGGGUGGCAGCAGUGGGGAAUAUUGGUCAAUGGGCGCAGGCCUGAACCAGCCAAGUCGCGUGAGGGAAGACUGCCCUAUGGGUUGUACACCUCUUUUAUAAGGGAAGAAUAAUGACUACGUGUAGUCAGAUGCCCGUACCUUAUGAAUAAGCAUCGGCUAACUCCGUGACAGCAGCCGCGGUAAUAAGGAGGAUGCGAGCGUUAUCCGGAUUUUUUUGGUUUAAAGGGUUCGUAGGCGGUAUUUUAAGUUAGUGGUAAAACGUCGGGGCUUAACCCUGAUGGGCCAUUUAAACUGGAGUACUAGAGUACAGACGAGGUAGGCGGAAUAAGUGAAGUAGCGGUGAAAUGCUUAGAUAUAACGUAGAACCCCGAUAGCGAAGGCAGCUUACCAGACUGUUACUGACGCGGAAGCACGAGAGCGUGGGUAGCGAACAGGAUUAGAUACCCGAGUAGUC
rnacentral:rRNA from 1 species